UCCUGUAUUUUAAAGAAAAGCAUUCCACGUAGAUGCUGUGGUCAAAAGAGAGCCCAUAGAGACAGUUUUCCUUGACAGUCACCAUUCUGUUUAUAGUAACUCAUCUGCAACCUUUCGGGAAAAGACAGAC